rnacentral:rRNA from 1 species
UGGCCCGGUGGCCGAUGAAGAGCGGAAUGAAGUCAGGGCAAAGUAUGAACAGCAGCUUUCCGAGAUGCAGAAGAUGGUCGAAAGCACCUGGGA